GACGAGGAUAACCAUUGGAAACAGUGGCUAAGACUGGAUAGGAAGAUAAAAGGCAUCUUUUAUCUUUUAAAAGACCUAGUAAUAGGUAUGCUUUAGGAGGGGCUUGCGCCAUAUUAGUUAGUUGGUAGGGUAAUGGCCUACCAAGACGAUGAUGUGUAGCUGGACUGAGAGGUUGAACAGCCACAUUGGGACUGAGACACGGCCCAAACUCCUACGGGAGGCAGCAGUAGGGAAUUUUCGGCAAUGGAGGAAACUCUGACCGAGCAACGCCGCGUGAAUGACGAAGUACUUCGGUAUGUAAAGUUCUUUUAUCAAGGAAGAAAAGCAAAUGGCGAACCAUUUGUUUGCCGGUACUUGAUGAAUAAGCCCCGGCUAAUUAUGUGCCAGCAGCCGCGGUAAGACAUAAGGGGCAAGUGUUAUCCGGAAUUAUUGGGCGUAAAGGGUGCGUAGGCGGUCUAGUAAGUCAGUGGUGUAAUGGCAACGCUUAACGUUGUCCGGCUAUUGAAACUGCUAAACUUGAGUUAGAUAGAGGCGAGUGGAAUUCCAUGUGUAGCGGUAAAAUGCGUAAAUAUAUGGAGGAACACCAGAGGCGUAGGCGGCUCGCUGGGUCUUAACUGACGCUGAGGCACGAAAGCGUGGGGAGCAAACAGGAUUAGAUACCCUGGUAGUCCACGCCGUAAACGAUGAGUACUAAGUGUCGGGUUAAACCGGUACUGAAGUUAACACAUUAAGUACUCCGCCUGAGUAGUACGUACGCAAGUAUGAAACUUAAAGGAAUUGACGGGACUCCGCACAAGCGGUGGAUCAUGUUGUUUAAUUCGAAGAUACCCGAAAAACCUUACCAGGUCUUGACAUGUUUUUGCAAAAUGAUAGUAAUAUCGUGGAGGUUACCAGAAACACAGGUGGUGCAUGGUUGUCGUCAGCUCGUGUCGUGAGAUGUUAGGUUAAGUCCUAAAACGAGCGAAACCCUUAUCGUUAGUUGCCAGCACGUUAUGGUGGGGACUUUAACGAGACUGCCAAUGAUAAAUUGGAGGAAGGUGAGGAUCACGUCAAAUCAGCAUGCCCCUUAUGACCUGGGCUACAAACGUGAUACAAUGGCUGUUACAAAGGGUAGCUGAAACGCAAGUUCUUGGCCAAUCCCCAAAAACAGUCCCAGUCCGGAUUGAAGUCUGCAACUCGACUUCAUGAAGUUGGAAUCGCUAGUAAUCGCGAAUCAGCAUGUCGCGGUGAAUACGUUCUCGGGGUUUGUACACACCGCCCGUCAAACCACGAAAGUUGGCAAUAC
rnacentral:rRNA from 1 species